UAAGGUGUUUUAAUGGAAGAGGUAAUUUUAUUUGAAGAGUCUCUUUUAGACUCUUCAAAUAAAAUUACCUCUUCCAUUAAAACACCU